GGAGAGAUGGCCGAGUGGCUGAAGGCGCCCGCCUGCUAAGUGGGUGUAGGUCGAUUAGACCUACCCCGGGUUCGAAUCCCGGUCUCUCCGCCA
rnacentral:tRNA from 1 species